rnacentral:rRNA from 1 species
AUUGAACGCUGGCGGCAGGCCUAACACAUGCAAGUCGAGCGGAUGAAGGGAGCUUGCUCCUGGAUUCAGCGGCGGACGGGUGAGUAAUGCCUAGGAAUCUGCCUGGUAGUGGGGGAUAACGUCCGGAAACGGGCGCUAAUACCGCAUACUCCCGGGGGGGGAAAGGGGGGGAUCUUCGGACCUCAGGCUAUCAGAUGAGCCUAGGUCGGAUUAGCUAGUUGGUGGGGUAAAGGCCUACCAAGGCGACGAUCCGUAACUGGUCUGAGAGGAUGAUCAGUCACACUGGAACUGAGACACGGUCCAGACUCCUACGGGAGGCAGCAGUGGGGAAUAUUGGACAAUGGGCGAAAGCCUGAUCCAGCCAUGCCGCGUGUGUGAAGAAGGUCUUCGGAUUGUAAAGCACUUUAAGUUGGGAGGAAGGGCAGUAAGUUAAAACCUUGCUGUUUUGACGUUACCAACAGAAUAAGCACCGGCUAACUUCGUG